UUCGCGGAUAGGAACCAUGAAGCGCCAAUAUGUGCUAUAUGGGCCGAUAAACCGCGUAUAUCAAUUGAUGAUAAUGGUCGCAUUUUUCGGCUAGUGCCAUUAGUGCAUUACCAGUUCAUUGAACAUUC
rfam:Ancylostoma duodenale strain Zhejiang A_duodenale-1.0_Cont9044.2, whole genome shotgun sequence.